rnacentral:rRNA from 1 species
CAGUAGCCGCGGUAAUACGUAGGGUGCGAGCGUUAAUCGGAAUUACUGGGCGUAAAGCGUGCGCAGGCGGUUCGUUAAGACAGAUGUGGAAUCCCCGGGCUCAACCUGGGAACUGCAUUUGUGACUGGCGAGCUAGAGUAUGGCAGAGGGGGGUAGAAUUCCACGUGUAGCAGUGAAAUGCGUAGAGAUGUGGAGGAAUACCGACGGCGAAGGCAGCCCCCUGGGCCAAUACUGACGCUCAUGCACGAAAGCGUGGGGAGCAAACAGGAUUAGAUACCCCCGUAGUCCCUGUCUCUUAUAU